AUUCUGGGCUCAGUCCAAGAAGUUCAUCCACAUGCCUCAUCAGCGGGCUCUUUGACACCACUUCUCCGGUGUUACUGAGCCUCCACACUGGGGCACUGAGGAAAGUGCUGCUCAGGGGGGGUUCCGCCGUCUUCACCUGUAACUGCCGUGUGUGCCUGCACUUCCCAGGCUCAGACAAGAUCCUUUACCCUGUGGUGGAGAUUCAAGCUCCAGUACAGCCGCGGUGCUUUUCAGGGAGCCUCGCCGCCCGUGGCAGCUGCAGGUCUGUCUGGAAGUUCAGCCAGGGGCUGCCCCCUGAGCCCGGCGGCGGGUGUGGCUGAUGCUGCUGCAGCCCAGCCAGCUGGCUCUGCCCAGGCCCUCGCUUCAGGUCCUUCCUCAUCCCCUCUCUUCAGCGCCCUUGGCAGUUCUACAUCUGGGGUUAUAGUUGUUUCCUUUGGUCCUCCUGGGUGUAUUUCGUUUGCCCUCCAGACGCACCUCUACCUUUACCUUUCUCUUCCCUAAAACCAGCAGGAAGCUGGAAGGCAAAAGGGCUGAGCAUGUCCAUGCAAUGGAGAUGAGAGGUGGAGGGGAAAGACUGGAGCUCUCCUCUGCUUGUUCCUGCCUGGUCUGGGUCCACAUGCUCCACUAAGGAAACCCUCAGCUCCUUCUUGGUGCCUACACCAUCAGCUUCAGAUGCACUGGGUCCAGGAGCUGCUCCCAGACCUCAGGAUUCUGACCACUCAGUGUUGUGGCUAGUGUUGGGGUGCUUACUGCCCCUGCUGGCUUCCUUUAACCCUGCUCACAAAGACAGUUCAUUCAGUUCCUUGUGGCCAUGUCCUUGGAGUGUCCUGUGGAUCCUCAUAGUCUGACCCCAGAAGUUUCAGUUGGUUUCUUUCUCCUGGUGCUCCUGUUGGUUUGAGGGAGGAGACACCCUGCUAUCUGCAACAGCCAAGGACCCGGUGAUCUGAAUGACGUGAGGUUCUGUGGUGUGAUGGUCAACACUCUGGACUUUGAAUUCGGUGACCUGAGUUCAAGUCUCAGUAGGACACACUCAUCUGUGCCUCUUUUGUCCCCUCCAGGGACCCUGCAGGUAAGGACCCGUCUGUUGUUGGGGACACCCCAGCACAUUAGGGAUUUCCUGAUCUUUGUUCUUUUAAUGUUCAUUUUUUCCCCUUUUCCUUUUACAAAAGAAACCCAAAGGGGCUUAUACUAUGUAUUGUUGCAAGAUUUUUCUGUCAGUAAAAAUUUAUUCCACGGUUUGACCACCUGUAGAACCCAACGUUUGGAUGUACAAUUACCUGCCCGGAGCGCCUGCUCUCUCACUGACACCAAUACCUCAUGUCCCGUGCACAUCUCUUGGGCAAAAACCAAGCCAAUGUACAUGUAUAUGCUUAUCUCUGUGUGUAUUUAUAGAUACAACUUGCAUUUCAAUUUAAAAAUAAGACUUCAGUCCUGGUACCUGC